AGGACGAACGCUGGCGGCGUGCUUAACACAUGCAAGUCGAGCGGUAAGGCCUUUCGGGGUACACGAGCGGCGAACGGGUGAGUAACACGUGGGUGAUCUGCCCUGCACUCUGGGAUAAGCCUGGGAAACUGGGUCUAAUACCGGAUAUGACCUGCUCUCGCAGUGGGGGUGGGUGGAAAGUAUUUAUCGGUGCAGGAUGGGCCCGCGGCCUAUCAGCUUGUUGGUGGGUAAUGGCCUACCAAGGCGACGACGGGUAGCCGACCUGAGGAGGGUGACCGGCCACACUGGGACUGGAGACCACGGCCCAGACCUCCGUACGGGAGGCAGCAGGUAGGGGUAAUAGUUGCAACAAGUGGGACGAAAGCCUAGACUCCACGCAAGUGCCGCGUGAGUGAUGGAAGGUCCGUUAGGGUUAGUAAACGUCCUUACUUUACCCGGAGUAGUAG
rnacentral:rRNA from 1 species